UUCUAUCCCGCGGCGCCAUCUCCACCGUCCACUGCCCAUCCACCCCGCGCCGCCCGCAUGGCCGCCCACGCCGUCUCCCCGCUCACCGGCGGCCUCCUCCGCCGCGGGGUGACCCUCCACCCCCGCCGUCGCCUCCUCGCCGUCGCCGCGGUGGCCCCUGAAGCGCCGGCGCCUACCCCGGCGCCGUCCCAGCUGCCGCCGUCCCCGGCGCCGCCCCGCAAGGGCUACUACCCGAAGCGCGGCGAGACCGUCGAGCUCUCCUGCGAGGCGCUAGCAUUCAAGGGCAAGGGCGUCUGCAAGGUCGCGGGCUCCACCUUCGUCCUGCUCUGCGACGGCGCGCUACCGGGCGAGCGCCUCCUCGCCCGCGUCCGCCGCCUCCGCCGCGGCGCCUUCGCCGAGGCCGCCAAGCUCAGAACCCUCGAGCCGCACCACGACGCCGUCGAGGCACCCUGCCCCCUCGCGGCCGACUGCGGCGGCUGCAAGACCCAGUCCCUCGCGUACGCCGCGCAGAUCCGACACAAGCACCUCCAGGUCCGCGACUUGCUCGUGAACUUCGGCAAGUUCGAUCCCAAGCUGCUGGAGAGCUCCGAGCCCGAUGCCAUCCUCAAGCCCAUCGUGCCGUGCGACGAGAUAUUCCGGUACAGGAACAAGAUGGAGUUCUCGUUUGGGACGAAGAGAUGGAUGCAAAGGGUGUGGAAGGAGGAGGAGGAGGUGGUGAAGGAGGAAGUGAACGAGGCUGAUGGAUAUGCGCUUGGAUUGCAUGCACCAGGCUUCUUCGACAAGGUGCUGCAUGUUGAGAAAUGUUUUCUGCAGAGUGAACUUGCUGAUAAGGUUCUUGCAGUUGUUCAAGAAACCUGGAUGGAUCCUGCCCUACGCCUCACGCCUUAUGAUGUCCACAAGCAUGUUGGGUUUCUUAAGCAUCUUAUGAUAAGAACCGGAAGAAACAUUAGCACUGGGACUCCAGAAGUCAUGGUCAAUUUUGUGACAUCAUGUUAUAAACCAGAUCUACUGAUGCCUCUUGUUGACAAUAUCACCAAAAUACCUGAAGUGGUCAGCGUCAUAAAUAACGUGAACACAUCUGUUGGGAAUACAUCUGUGGGUGAACAAGAAUAUACCUUGUAUGGGAAGCCAAACAUUACAGAGAUGUUGAGAGGACUUACAUUCCAGAUAUCUGCCAACUCUUUUUUUCAGACUAAUACAAAACAGGCUGAUGUUCUUUACAAGCUGAUUGAAGCUUCUGCUAGACUUAAAGGAGAUGGCUCUGAAAUUGUUCUUGACUUGUUUUGUGGAACUGGAACAAUUGGUUUGACCCUUGCCAGAAGGGCAAAGCAUGUAUACGGAUAUGAAGUUGUCCCUGAAGCCAUUGCAGAUGCUCGAAAGAAUGCGAAGUUGAAUGGUAUCAAUAAUGCAACAUUUGUUCAGGGAGACCUCAAUAAAAUCAAUGAAUCAUUCGGGAAGGAAUUUCCAAAGCCUGACAUAAUCAUCUCAGAUCCCAAUCGGCCAGGGAUGCACAUGAAGUUAAUCAAGUGGUUGUUAGAAGUUAAAGCCCCUCGAAUAGUGUACGUCUCAUGUAAUCCAGCUACUUGUGCACGGGAUUUGGACUACCUAUGUCAUGGUGUGGAAGAGAAAGAUUUGGGAGGAUGCUAUGAACUCAAGAGUGUAAUUCCUGUGGAUAUGUUUCCCCAUACUCCUCAUAUUGAGUGUGUGUGCUUAUUGGAGCUGCGUUGAUAUUUCAGUUUUGAUAAGUGUGCAGAAAUUUUUCAGGUGUUCCGAAAAGGAGAUAACUCAUUUGCUAAUUGCUGUGCGGCAUGAAUACCAUGUUGAGAACAAUACAAGACAUGAUCCUGGCUUGGGAAGUUACUGGACAACUGAUCUGAAGACCCGGCUUGGGCUUUGUUGAAACAAUUUUGAGGAGUAUGCAGUUUUUUUAGAUAUAUGAAGCAGAACCGAAGAAGCUUGGUUUGCUGGAGAAAACACCCUGGAUCAUAUUGUACGGUUAAAUCUUCUUUCAUUGGAUGGUCAUCAAUGGUUGGUGCUGACCUUGCGUUCUGCAGAAAAAGUGUAUGCAAAGGCACGAUGCUUUCUUGUUAUGAGGAAUACAUAGAAAACUCAGGCUAACUUAUGAAAAUACAUCAAGAAUUGCCAUCGAUUGAUGCAAACAUGUGAAGCAGGCUGUAUAAGUUGAUUAUUUUGUCCAAUCUUUC